AGAGUUUGAUCCUGGCUCAGAACGAACGCUGGCGGCGUGCCUAACACAUGCAAGUCGAACGGAGUUAAGGCAGAGCACAGAAGCCAGAGCUCAGACAUACAGAAGGCAGACAUUAGGGUAAAACAAACUUAAGUCUGUGCUCUGAUAGUCUGUCAUCUGUAUUCUGGUUUGUGUGCUUUGUCUUAACUUAGUGGCGGACGGGUGAGUAACACGUAGGUAACCUGCCUCAAAGCGGGGGACAACAUCGGGAAACCGGUGCUAAUACCGCAUAAGACCACGAUCUGGGAUGAUUGUGGUAAAAGCAGCAAUGCGCUUUGAGAGGGGCCUGCGGCCUAUCAGGUAGUUGGUAAGGUAACGGCUUACCAAGCCUAAGACGGGUAGCCGGACUGAGAGGUUGAACGGCCACACUGGAACUGAGACACGGUCCAGACUCCUACGGGAGGCAGCAGUGGGGAAUUUUGCGCAAUGGGGGAAACCCUGACGCAGCGACGCCGCGUGAAGGAUGAAGGUCUUCGGAUUGUAAACUUCUUUUGUCGGGGAAGAUAAUGACGGUACCCGAUGAAUAAGCCACGGCUAACUCUGUGCCAGCAGCCGCGGUAAGACAGAGGUGGCAAGCGUUGUUCGGAAUUACUGGGCUUAAAGGGCGCGUAGGCGGUGGAGUAAGUCUGAGGUGGAAGGUCAGGGCUUAACCCUGAAAUUGCCCUUGGGAAACUGCAUCACUUGAGUCAGCGAGGGGAUGGCGGAAAUUCCAGGUGUAGCGGUGAAAUGCGUAGAUAUCUGGAGGAAGGGCCGGUGGCGAA
rnacentral:rRNA from 1 species